CGUUGAAAAACCGGUUCCCGUAUGACCACCGCAGAUAAGCAACGUUGACUUUGAGCAGUACUUAGAUGGGUGACCGUUUGGGAAGAGCAGAUGCUGUAAG